AAUGCCAUUCCAGCAGAUUUUUUUAAAGAGUUUUUUUUUUUCUAUUUUUAAAGCAGAGGUAAUGGAAAAGAUGUAGUCAACAACCUGAUGGGAUCGUUUGGGGACAGGCAGACCCUUCAUAGUGGUGCCCAGAGACAAGACAAGAGGCAAUAGGCACAACCUGAAAUACAGGAAGCAUGAACCAAAGGAGUAUUUGUGUGCCCCAUCCUGACCAUAGCCUUCAUCCACAAACCAGAUCCUGAGCCAUGAUUAGUGCUGACAGAGUGUUCACCAAGCACUUCAGAGGUGCUGCUGGUGUUCAAGAGAACCAGAGAAUGGGCCAAGCCAGGCUGUCCCAGCCAGCAGUUUGCCCCAGAAGAAAAUCUGUACUGCAUGAGGCCUUUUGCAGUGAUUGCCAGGCUUUGAACUACUCUUUAAAGUACUUGUGAGGCAAGGCGGUUCUACUUUGGGAUCUGAAAAGAAAAUGUAAUGCUUUUUAAAGUCAGACCUACAUAUUUCUUUCUUUUGCUCAGUACCUCUCAACACUGCAGAGCAGGAUAACACCUUGAUUCAACUGCUGCUGAGAGUGCUCUAAACAUGUCUGCUUUCUAUCAGCUCUCUUUAGCUAAACAGUAACCUUCUUCCUGGAAGAGCUAUUGUUCCUUACAGGAGACCACUAUCUAAAACACCAGACCACUUAUCUUUACCUUGUGGCAAGCCCCCUCUAUUUCUGUUAGCCCUGGGAGACAACAUCCCUGUAAAUAAUUUAAAUGCUUCACAAGCCAGUUGAUUAGCAACAUGAAUACAAAUGCAGGUUGCCACAGCCGGUCUUAUACAGCAGCCUGAAAUGCUGUGAAAUAUCUGAAAUAUCUGCAGAUAUGUAAAGUAUUAGUUUGUAUUUGUGACCCUGGCUUAUAUAAAUGUUCAGUUGCAAUUGAAUAGCACAACCAACCAUAAACUUUGCCUCUGGAUCAGAGCAUGGGAUGUGACUGAAAAAUUUGGCACAGCAAUUACAAAAUGUCAAAUGAACUUCAUUUCAUCUACACAAGCAUGAAGUAUUUUACUAAAUGUCUGAUAACGUAAGAGUAGGAUUAGGAGGGGUCCUGGCAGAAAUUCCUAUGGCUUUGCCUCCUUCACCGCUCCCCAUCGCUUCAGAGAUAAAGAUGAUGGUUUCCAGGGUAACUGGAUGGACACACACAAAAAAGGACGCAUUGUCUAAUUUGGUUUUCUGAGACUGUCAGAGGACUGCUUGGCCAGAAGCAUAGCCUAAAAAUGAUUAUAAAGGAGAUUUGUAGUUUAUUUAAUCACACAUUUUAAUUCUCAGUCAUUGCCUUAUGCACUUUUUCAGUCUUAAGGGUGAUUCUCAUAUUCAAAUGCACAGUUUCUAAUACGUACGAAUACUUCAAAAUUCAUGGGCCAUUAUUAAAGGCACACACAGGGCAGAUGGUCCUGUUGUGUAUGUGCAUAUGUUAUCCACUGAGGGAGCUUGUAUUUUGUUUCAUGCCAUGCCUAUGUACAAAUGUAAGGAUUUGAAUAAACUGUACAUUUCUCUAUGAUAUUUAUGCGUC
ensembl:lncRNA